rnacentral:rRNA from 1 species
UACGGAGGGUGCGAGCGUUAAUCGGAAUUACUGGGCGUAAAGCGCGCGUAGGCGGUUUGAUUAGUCGGGUGUGAAAGCCCCGGGCUUAACCUGGGAAUUGCAUUCGAUACUGUCAGGCUCGAGUCUAGGAGAGGGAAGCGGAAUUCCGGGUGUAGCGGUGAAAUGCGGUAGAAUAUCCGGAGGAACAUCAGUGGCGAAGGCG